AGUGUCGUAGUCGAGUGGUUAAAACACUCGACUUGAAAUUCAAAGGUCGUGGUUCGAUCCCCGACACGG
rnacentral:tRNA from 1 species